rnacentral:rRNA from 1 species
AAAUUGAAGAGUUUGAUCAUGGCUCAGAUUGAACGCUGGCGGCAGGCCUAACACAUGCAAGUCGAGCGGUAGCACAGAGAGCUUGCUCUCGGGUGACGAGCGGCGGACGGGUGAGUAAUGUCUGGGAAACUGCCUGAUGGAGGGGGAUAACUACUGGAAACGGUAGCUAAUACCGCAUAACGUCGCAAGACCAAAGUGGGGGACCUUCGGGCCUCAUGCCAUCAGAUGUGCCCAGAUGGGAUUAGCUAGUAGGUGGGGUAACGGCUCACCUAGGCGACGAUCCCUAGCUGGUCUGAGAGGAUGACCAGCCACACUGGAACUGAGACACGGUCCAGACUCCUACGGGAGGCAGCAGUGGGGAAUAUUGCACAAUGGGCGCAAGCCUGAUGCAGCCAUGCCGCGUGUGUGAAGAAGGCCUUCGGGUUGUAAAGCACUUUCAGCGGGGAGGAAGGCGUUAAGGUUAAUAACCUUGGCGAUUGACGUUACCCGCAGAAGAAGCACCGGCUAACUCCGUGCCAGCAGCCGCGGUAAUACGGAGGGUGCAAGCGUUAAUCGGAAUUACUGGGCGUAAAGCGCACGCAGGCGGUCUGUCAAGUCGGAUGUGAAAUCCCCGGGCUCAACCUGGGAACUGCAUUCGAAACUGGCAGGCUAGAGUCUUGUAGAGGGGGGUAGAAUUCCAGGUGUAGCGGUGAAAUGCGUAGAGAUCUGGAGGAAUACCGGUGGCGAAGGCGGCCCCCUGGACAAAGACUGACGCUCAGGUGCGAAAGCGUGGGGAGCAAACAGGAUUAGAUACCCUGGUAGUCCACGCCGUAAACGAUGUCGAUUUGGAGGUUGUGCCCUUGAGGCGUGGCUUCCGGAGCUAACGCGUUAAAUCGACCGCCUGGGGAGUACGGCCGCAAGGUUAAAACUCAAAUGAAUUGACGGGGGCCCGCACAAGCGGUGGAGCAUGUGGUUUAAUUCGAUGCAACGCGAAGAACCUUACCUGGUCUUGACAUCCACAGAACUUAGCAGAGAUGCUUUGGUGCCUUCGGGAACUGUGAGACAGGUGCUGCAUGGCUGUCGUCAGCUCGUGUUGUGAAAUGUUGGGUUAAGUCCCGCAACGAGCGCAACCCUUAUCCUUUGUUGCCAGCGGUUAGGCCGGGAACUCAAAGGAGACUGCCAGUGAUAAACUGGAGGAAGGUGGGGAUGACGUCAAGUCAUCAUGGCCCUUACGACCAGGGCUACACACGUGCUACAAUGGCAUAUACAAAGAGAAGCGACCUCGCGAGAGCAAGCGGACCUCAUAAAGUAUGUCGUAGUCCGGAUUGGAGUCUGCAACUCGACUCCAUGAAGUCGGAAUCGCUAGUAAUCGUAGAUCAGAAUGCUACGGUGAAUACGUUCCCGGGCCUUGUACACACCGCCCGUCACACCAUGGGAGUGGGUUGCAAAAGAAGUAGGUAGCUUAACCUUCGGGAGGGCGCUUACCACUUUGUGAUUCAUGACUGGGGUGAAGUCGUAACAAGGUAACCGUAGGGGAACCUGCGGU